UGAAUAUAAAUAUUUUUGUGGGGAAAAUAUGGGAAUAAGAACUUACAUGAAGUAACUAGGAGAGAGGUUUCCCUUUCGGGAACCCCCUAAAGAUCGAAUAGAAAACUUGAAGCUUUUAUUUAAACCACGAUGUUACAAAGUUUAUACAAGAACGACUGGGUUAGACAAGUUUUUUGGGAGGAAAGGUUUAAACAUUUCAGGCGAGUUUUUAGGUUGGUUGAUUUUUUCUCUCUGACUUUCUACUACAA
rnacentral:lncRNA from 1 species